UUGAAAUCCUUUCGAUUGGGUUUGACGCUAUCACAGCCAAACUACCCUUGCCGAUUGUACGAGCGCCGUGAUCCAUUUGCCCCCUUGGAGCCAUUCUUUGUCCUGCUCUGAGCUCCGGGGGGAGGGGGGGGUGGGGCUGACACAUCACAAGGGCCCCCUUGUCCCUGGAUCCUCAUUGGGUUUGGCUAAUGGGAGGCACCUGCUGAAGAUCUGAAGCAGGUGGUGAGACAGUUUGGGGAGUUUUUUUCUUCAUUUGCUCCUCUUCCUUGUUGAGGUUCCUGCAGUGACUGCUUCUAACCGCAGGUACAGCUCCUACAGAGUAUAGGCCCUCUGGUGGCCAGCCUCUCAGUGCCAAGAUUCUCAUUUAUCUGAAACCAGCUAUCAAGUCUCCCUGAAAGAAUUUCUCUUCAGGCUAAACAUCCUGAAGAGAUCCUUCAAGUACAUUUUCCCUGUCAUCAUCAAGACCCUUAUAAGCCUUGCCACGGUCCUCUACAUGUAAGGUCAAACCAAAGUGCCAUUUCACAUGGUCUGGCAAAGACAGAGUAGAAUGGGGCUCUCAGCCCCCAAAUUGAGGGCACCUUAUUUCUGGUAAUGCAGCCCCAUAGCACGUUGGCCAUUUUUGGCUGUCUGAUUAAACACGGGGGUUUUAGUCUCCGUACAAUUAAAGGAAACUGCUAAAUCUCUUGUA